rnacentral:rRNA from 1 species
AGCAGCCGCGGUAAUUCCAGCUCCAAUAGCGUAUAUUAAAGUUGUUGCAGUUAAAAAGCUCGUAGUUGAAUUUUGGGUCUGGCCGGGCGGUCCACCUUCCGGUGAGCACUGUUCCGACGCCGGGCCUAUCCUUCUGGUGAGACGGCAUGCCCUUCGCUGGGUGUGUCGGGGAACCAGGACCAUUACCUUGAAAAAUUAGAGUGUUCAAAGCAGGCAUUUGCUCGAAUACGUUAGCAUGGAAUAAUGAAAUAGGACGCGUGGUACUAUUUUGUUGGUUUCUAGGACCGCCGUAAUGAUUAAUAGGGAUAGUUGGGGGCAUUAGUAUUCAAUUGUCAGAGGUGAAAUUCUUGGAUUUAUUGAAGACUAACUUCUGCGAAAGCAUUUGCCAAGGAUGUUUUCAUUAAUCAAGAACGAAAGUUAGGGGAUCGAAGACGAUCAGAUACCGUCGUA